rnacentral:pre_miRNA from 1 species
UGUUUUUGCUUGCUCUGUUCUAAGUACUAGUGCCGCAGUUGUUCCAUUGAUUUCAAGACAUCAACUGCUACUCUGGUGCUUAACACGGGGUCUGGCUAAUAA